rnacentral:rRNA from 1 species
UGAGGAAUAUUGGGCAAUGCCCGAAAGGGUGACCCAGCAACGCCGCGUGGAGGAUGAAGGUCGUAAGAUUGUAAACUCCUGUUAGAGGGGAAGAAUAACUAAGUUUGGAGCUUAGUAUGACUGUACCCUCAGAGAAAGCCCCGGCUAACUACGUGCCAGCAGCCGCGGUAAUACGUAGGGGGCAAGCGUUGUCAGGAUUUACUGGGUGUAAAGGGCGCGCAGGCGGAAUGGAAAGUCAGUGGUGAAAUCCUACAGCUUAACUGUAUAACUGCCUUUGAUACUUUCAUUCUUGAGUUCGGGAGAGAGAGACGGAAUUCCAGGUGUAGUGGUGAAAUACGUAGAUAUCUGGAAGAACACCAGUUGCGAAGGCGGUCUCUUGGUCCGAUACUGACGCUGAGGCGCGAAAGCGUGGGGAGCAAACA